ACUCUCACUGCAGUCACCUUUCUGAAAAUGAAACCCUGAUAUUCAACUGAAACACGUGGAAAUCAAAACAGGUGAUGGACAAAAGUUGAAAGGUUGAAUCUGUGGUUUAAAUUAUUGUGUCCUCAGCUUGAAUGAGGGUGGAUGAAGUGCAGAUCCGACUGGAAUGCCUUCUAGAUUUGUGAAGUGGAAUGAGCCAUAAAGAAAGAAUGCAGUUAUAUAGCUUAGUAUAACAAAAUAUCUUUCCCGCCUCACAUUUAAAAAAAUUUUUGCCUGAUCUCAGGGUUCCAGGCCCAAGUCUAGCACCAGUGCUUAACCAUGGCAGAGAAGAAUCAACUUCCCAGGUACCUUCACGUAUUUUGGGGCCUAUAAAGGGUGGAGUUCCUCCCAGGCAGGGUGCCUGGAGUCUCCUAGAUGUCUGAGAGGACUUUGGACAUGAUACGGGCAAGUGUGCAGGUGCGGGGAUGGUCGCAUUUAACAGAGUCCAGGAACAUAACUUCUGAGAGCACAUGCUGUACCGAGAACUUUGAUACCUGUCACAAAAUACCAUAUCUAUACAUUUAAAUUUGGCGUGCAUAAUCCUAAUAGUAUUUUAGGGUGGAAUAUAACCUCACACCAUGUAGGCUUGUGGAAGCCAACUUUGUAUGCAACUCAGUUACCGGCUUGGUUAGGCUUCUUCUUGGCCCCAUCGCAGGUUAAACGGUACCUUGAAACUGGUUUCACCACUGGGAAAAAGAUGUGUGUCCAGGAGAUAAUGAAAAGCGUUAGAGAGAGAUGACAGCACACCGUGGGGGCAUUCUUAAGUGUGGGACGCUUCCAGAUAGGAUUGCUGUUAUGCUGUUUCUAAGAACAGUACUCUGAACUAGCCUCUGAGCUCUGGCACGGACUAAUGGCCAAUUCUGGAAGAAAUCAUUGUUCCUUUUCUUAAACAAGGAAAAUCGAACUCCUCCUGAUUUCGCUAAAAUCUCCGCAAAACGAUUUGGAGAACAGACACAAAGCACUGUUUCUUUCAGUUGUGAUCUCCCUUUACUGAUGGAGAGCCUGGACAAUGAAAAAAGCUAGCCCUGUCAAUUUUCAUUGUAAACAGAGAGUGACAGACUGCCUGGUAAAUACAUCAACAGUCCUUACUAUGGAAAACCUUCUUACAUGUGGAAUGCUUUUACUAAGAUGUGUCUGAUCUUUGUAGGACUCUUCAUGGUGGUCUAACCUGGAAUCUGUAGAUUUACAUGUCCUUGUUCCUUGGAACCCCUCACCUAAUCUAUGCUACUGUCAGGGUUAUCAAAUGGAGAGGACCAAAACUGACUCCAUAUUAUGUGAAUAUUCUCUUAUGCAAUUCCCUGACCUUUCUUAAAACAGAGAUCAUGUCCUUUGCGGGAACAUGGAUGGAGCUGGAGCCCAUUAUCCUUAGCAAACCAGCUCAGGAACAGAAAACCAAAUACUGCAGGUUCUGACUUACAGGUGGCAGCUAAAUAAUGAAAACACAGCAACACGAAGAGGGGAGCAACAGACACUGAGGCUUACCUGAGGGUGGAAGAUGGGAGGAGGGAGAGGAGCAGA